rnacentral:rRNA from 1 species
UACGUAGGGGGCAAGCGUUGUCCGGAAUCACUGGGCGUAAAGCGCGCGCAGGCGGCUGUCUACGUCCGGGGUGAAAGCCCAGAGCUCAACUCUGGGACUGCCUUGGAUACGGGAUGGCUUGAGGAUCGGAGAGGCAAGGGGAAUUCCACGUGUAGCGGUGAAAUGCGUAGAGAUCCGGAAGAACACCGGUGGCGAAAGCGGCUCACUGGACCGCAACUGACGCUGAGGCGCGAAAGCUAGGGGGAGCAAACAGGG